CUUAUUAGCAAAUGUUCUUCGGGCUACGUUGAUGAUACUGUUUGGCUUUAACAGCUGGUGAGAAAACUCCCUCUGCUCAACCUCAACACCUCAGGUUGUAUGCUCAGCACUCUGUUAUUCACCCUGCUCAUCCAUUACUGCAACCCCAAGUCUGAGUUCAACCUCAUCAUGAAGUAUGCUGAAGACAUGAUCAGCAGUAAUGACGAUGCAUCAGACAGAGAGGAGGUGGAACAUCUGACAUGCUGCAUUCCCAGAGCCUCUGCCGUUGUGAAGAACCCCACCCAACCCGCAUACAGCCUGGCUGCACUUCUGCAAUCUGCACUUCUGCAAACUCUACAAUCACUGCAAUCUAUCAAAAGCCUAAAUCACCCCGUGAUUGUUGUUUUCUAUUUAUUGUUAAAUGUGCACGGUUGUGUGUUUAUUGGUUAUGUACUUUAGUCCAUAUGAAACUAUAUUUGCGUUCAGCUAAAUACUCUGUAUAUAGAAGAAUUACAGUAAAGCUGACACAUUUACAAAUAAGUGAAAAAAUGCAAAAAAGAAAAGAAUAAAAUGAAAAAAGAGAUUAAAAUU